rnacentral:rRNA from 1 species
CGGACGGGUGAGUAAUGUCUGGGAAACUGCCUGAUGGAGGGGGAUAACUACUGGAAACGGUAGCUAAUACCGCAUAACGUCGCAAGACCAAAGAGGGGGACCUUCGGGCCUCUUGCCAUCGGAUGUGCCCAGAUGGGAUUAGCUAGUAGGUGGGGUAACGGCUCACCUAGGCGACGAUCCCUAGCUGGUCUGAGAGGAUGACCAGCCACACUGGAACGGAGACACGGUCCAG